rnacentral:lncRNA from 1 species
UUUUCGGAAUACACAAAUCAUUAUGUCCUCCGAACAAGAGCGUACAAUCUGUACAUCAAUGGGUUCACUGUUAUUACGCUCAAUUUUAGAGAAAGGGACAUUUAAACUCAAAAUCGAAAAUAAGGUGACCACACCACGGAAGACACAUGUUGAUUAGAAGAAGAGGAAUUGUUGCAAAUGUCCAAGCAUACUUCUAACAAAGAUACAAGACGCAGAUGAGACAAAUAUUUUAUUGGUUAAAAAUUAAAGCAAACUUCAAAUAUAAAAAGCUGUAAGAUACUGGAAGUGACAAAAACCAUGUGAAACUCAGUCGUCUAUAGUAGAGGCAAAUACUGACCACUAGAUAUCUCAAACGUAAAAUUUAAUAGAC